rnacentral:rRNA from 1 species
UACGGAGGGUGCAAGCGUUGUUCGGAAUUAUUGGGCGUAAAGCGCGUGUAGGCGGUUCAGCAAGUCGGUUGUGAAAGCCCCGGGCUCAACUCGGGAAUUGCGUCCGAAACUGCUGAACUGGAGUCCCGGAGAGGAAGGCAGAAUUCCCAAUGUAGGGGUGAAAUCCGUAGAUAUUGGGAGGAAUACCAGUGGCGAAGGCGGCCUUCUGGACGGUGACUGACGCUGAGACGCGACAGCGUGGGGAGCAAACAGG